GGACAAGUCAUAAUUCAUAACACAAAUACACAAUUCAGUUCAAGGCUUCAAGCACAGACACACACUGACACACAUAGUUCACUAGUUCACUUCAGCACCACAAAUGGACAAGUCAUAAUUCAUAACGCAAUUCAGUUCAAGGCUUCAAGCACACACAGCCACACACAUAGUUCACUAGUUCAGCACCCAGCCGGCAGCCACACACACAGACAUAGUUCAGCACAGUAGUCAGUAGCACACAACCACACACAGUUCAUAAUAAAGGUUACAUGGAGCUGGAGCAGCAGCAGUCACCCGGCCGGUCACCCCAGUCCCCAGAUGGCCAGAUCAGUCCAGAGAGAUUAUGUCAUUGUCAUCAACUUGGAGGCAUCCAUGUUCUACAAUUACACAGAAAAAAAGACAAACUGUAAGAAAAGUUACAUGAUCAACAAAAUAAUGAAAAUACACAACCGUUUAUUUUAGUACCUUCCUCUAGUUAGGUCAACUCCGCAAGAUCAGCUUCAAUGUUGAUACACUUACGGCGCAACCAAUCUUGGGUACAUAUCAAGGUUUGGAGUGUCAUUGGUGUCAAAGAGCUUCUAAAGUCAUCUAGAAUACGCCCACUGGUACUGAAAGCUGAUUCAGAAGCAAUCGUUGAGAUUGGUAUUGCUAGUAUGUCACGGGCCAAUUUUGAAAGGACCGGAAAGCGAGCGGAAUUAGCCUUCCACCAAUAAAGAAUGUCAAAAUCAGAAGAUAGCUCCUCUGUAUCCUCCGCUAAGUACUUGUCUAAUUCAGUUCUGGUAUUUGGUAUUUGUACUAGAAUCUCUAUUACCAACUCACAUUCUCUUGCUGUACCGUGAUCUCAUAAGAGAAUUUUCAGAUGCAUUUACACUAGCUUGAGAUUGUGAUAUUGAUUCACUAGCACUAGCGGUAGCAGUACCAUAUAUUGCUUUGUAUUCUUGAAACAAAGAGACAAAUUCUUUGUGUGAAGAAGCCAAGAUCCUGUUACCUAUGAUACUGCUGUACGUGUCUUCAAUUAGGCCCUUAAAGAAAUGAGAUUCCUUCGUCC
rnacentral:lncRNA from 1 species